rnacentral:rRNA from 1 species
GGAGUAUGGGCCGUGUCUCAGUCCCAUUGUGGCUGAUCAUCCUCUCAAACCAGCUACUGAUCGUCGCCUUGGUGGGCAUUUACCCCGCCAACUAGCUAAUCAGUUACAGGCUCAUCCAUAAGCGAUAAAUCCUUUCAAGUAUUAUAUUCCAAUAAUACUCAUAUGCGGUAUUAGCACCAGUUUCCCAGUGUUGUCCCCCUCUUAUGGGCAGAUUCCCUAUAUUCUACUCACCCGUCCGCCACUUUCAGUACUAGCAAGCUAGCACCUCUCGUUCGACUUGCAUGUAUGAUGCACGCCGCCAGCGUUCAUCCUGAGCCAGAUCAAACUCU